rnacentral:rRNA from 1 species
GAUGAACGCUGGCGGCGUGCCUAAUACAUGCAAGUCGAGCGAACAGAUGAGGAGCUUGCUCCUCUGACGUUAGCGGCGGACGGGUGAGUAACACGUGUAUAACCUACCUAUAAGACUGGGAUAACUUCGGGAAACCGGAGCUAAUACCGGAUAAUAUAUUGAACCGCAUGGUUCAAUAGUGAAAGACGGUUUUGCUGUCACUUAUAGAUGGAUCCGCGCCGCAUUAGCUAGUUGGUAAGGUAACGGCUUACCAAGGCAACGAUGCGUAGCCGACCUGAGAGGGUGAUCGGCCACACUGGAACUGAGACACGGUCCAGACUCCUACGGGAGGCAGCAGUAGGGAAUCUUCCGCAAUGGGCGAAAGCCUGACGGAGCAACGCCGCGUGAGUGACGAAGGUCUUCGGAUCGUAAAACUCUGUUAUUAGGGAAGAACAAAUGUGUAAGUAACUAUGCACGUCUUGACGGUACCUAAUCAGAACGCCACGGCUAACUACGUG